rnacentral:rRNA from 1 species
UGGGGAAUAUUGCACAAUGGGCGCAACUGAUGCAGCAACGCCGCGUGGGGGAUGACGGCCUUCGGGUUGUAAACCUCUUUUAGCAGGGAAGAAGCGAAAGUGACGGUACCUGCAGAAAAAGCGCCGGCUAACUACGUGCCAGCAGCCGCGGUAAUACGUAGGGCGCAAGCGUUGUCCGGAAUUAUUGGGCGUAAAGAGCUCGUAGGCGGUUGGUCGCGUCUGCUGUGAAAUCCCGAGGCUCAACCUCGGGCCUGCAGUGGGUACGGGCCAACUAGAGUGCGGUAGGGGAGAUCGGAAUUCCUGGUGUAGCGGUGGAAUGCGCAGAUAUCAGGAGGAACACCAAUGGCGAAGGCAGAUCUCUGGGCCGUAACUGACGCUGAGGAGCGAAAGGGUGGGGAGCGAACAGGAUUAGAUACCCUGGUAGUCCACGCCGUAAACGGUGGGAACUAGUUGUAGGGGCCAUUCCACGGCUUCUGUGACGAAGCUAACGCAUUAAGUUCCCCGCCUGGGGAGUACGGUCGCAAGACUA